rnacentral:rRNA from 1 species
UACGUAGGGGGCUAGCGUUGUCCGGAAUCAUUGGGCGUAAAGCGCGUGUAGGCGGCUUUGCAAGUCGGGUGUGAAAGCCCUCAGCUUAACUGAGGAAGUGCGCCCGAAACUGCUUAGCUUGAGUGCCGGAGAGGAUGGCGGAAUUCCCCAAGUAGAGGUGAAAUUCGUAGAUAUGGGGAGGAACACCGGUGGCGAAGGCGGCCAUCUGGACGGUAACUGACGCUGAGACGCGAAAGCGUGGGUAGCAAACAGG